rnacentral:rRNA from 1 species
UACGGGGGGGGCAAGCGUUGUUCGGAAUUACUGGGCGUAAAGGGCUUGUAGGUGGCCAACUAAGUCAGACGUGAAAUCCCUCAGCUUAACUGGGGAACUGCGUCUGAUACUGGAUGGCUUGAGUUUGGGAGAGGGAUGCGGAAUUCCAGGUGUAGCGGUGAAAUGCGUAGAUAUCUGGAGGAACACCGGUGGCGAAGGCGGGUCUCUGGGCAGUAACUGACGCUGAGGAGCGAAAGCGUGGGGAGCGAACAGG